CUGCAUCUUUGACAGCCUGGGCCCUCUACUGUGAGAUAACCCGGGUUUUACUAUUUUAGAUGCAACAUUAAAUGUCCCUGCGCUUUCUGCCCGCCUAUUCAUGGCGUCUCGGAUUGAAUCGGGGAGGAUAAAC